GGCAGGGCUGAGGUAGCGACGGCGGCGGCCAGAGCGAGAAGCGGCAGCGCGACCACGGCCCUGUAGCCUGACCACCAUGAGCACCAAGCAGGUCACUUGCAGGUAUUUUAUGCAUGGUGUGUGUCGGGAAGGAAACCAAUGUCUGUUCUCACAUGACUUGGCCAAUAGCAAGCCAUCCACCAUCUGCAAGUACUAUCAGAAGGGCUACUGCGCCUAUGGAACUCGUUGCAGAUAUGAUCACACAAGGCCCUCUGCUGCAGCUGGUGGUGCUGUGGGCUCCGUGCCCCACAGUGUGCCCUCCCCGGGCUUCCACAGUCCUCACCCUCCUUCCGACCUCACUGCACCUAUUGUGAAAACUAACUUACAUGAACCUGGGAAACGUGAGAAAAGAACAUUGGUACUUAGAGACCGAAAUCUCUCUGGCAUGGCUGAAGAAAAGGCUUGCCCCAGUGUGGUGAGUAAUCCGGGAAGCAGUGACACCCAGAGUAGUCCAGAGAUGAAGCCGCAUUCUUACCUGGAUGCAAUCAGAAGUGGCCUCGAUCACUUGGAAGCCAGCAGUUCCUACAGCAGCGAGCAGCAGCUGUGCCCCUAUGCGGCCGCUGGGGAGUGCCGAUUUGGGGAUGCUUGUGUCUACCUGCAUGGGGAAAUGUGUGAAAUCUGUAGGUUACAAGUCCUGCACCCCUUUGACCCAGAGCAAAGGAAAGCUCACGAGAAGAUCUGCAUGUCAACAUUUGAACAUGAGAUGGAAAAGGCCUUUGCCUUCCAGGCAAGUCAGGACAAAGUGUGCAGUAUCUGCAUGGAAGUGAUCCUCGAGAAGGCGUCUGCUUCUGAGAGGAGAUUUGGGAUUCUCUCCAACUGCAAUCACACAUACUGCUUGUCCUGCAUCCGACAGUGGAGGUGUGCCAAGCAGUUCGAGAACCCAAUCAUUAAGUCUUGUCCAGAAUGCCGUGUAAUAUCAGAGUUUGUAAUUCCAAGUGUGUAUUGGGUAGAAGAUCAGGAUAAAAAGAACGAGUUGAUCGAAGCUUUCAAACAGGGAAUGGGAAAAAAAGCUUGUAAGUACUUCGAGCAAGGCAAGGGGACCUGCCCAUUUGGAAACAAAUGUCUUUAUCGCCAUGCAUACCCUGAUGGGCGGCUUGCAGAGCCUGAGAAACCUCGGAAACAGCUCAGUUCUGAAGGCACUGUGAGGUUCUUCAAUUCAGUGCGGCUCUGGGAUUUCAUUGAGAACCGAGAAAGCCAGCAUGUCCCCAACACUGAAGAUGUUGAUGUGACAGAGCUUGGGGACCUCUUCAUGCACCUGUCUGGAGUGGAGUCAUCAGAACCCUGAAGAAUAGAUGGUUGGUCGCCCCUGCGUCUUGGGCUCCACCAGCACAGCCUUUCCCAACUAGGGUGUGCAGAGCUUCCUUUACUGCAGCCCCAGAACUGAGCAGUCAAAUGAAACAACCACCAAAGGAUACUGUUGGAUUUCAUGUCUCUGUGGAUGAUGUUCUUUGCAUGCAAAUAGCUGUGAAGGAAAAAUAACUAUUAAAAACAGUUUAAAGGGUAUGGCUAGAAAGUAGCUUCCAACUACAGCUAUGAAGCAAACUACCUGAAGGCCUUGCUCCCAGUGGAUCUACAUCCGGGGAUAGCCCUGCACUGGUUCAGGCGGGGCCACGUGGUGCUCACCCUAAAGGGUUCAGCAGGACCCCUCGUUGGUGGCAUUCAUCACUCUUCAACUUACUGCUACAAGUCUAAAUAGUGACUCAAAGAUUUGAAAGCUGAAGGUUUGACAUCCACAGCCAAGGUAAUUUGACCAUAAAAGGAGCUCAUGGAAAUAAAUGCAAAAAUAGAACCUAUUACUCCCUACCUCAAAUCAAAACUCAAGAGAUAGAAUCUGGGCUACCGAAUAUAGUUGUGUCCAGAGGUUUAUAACAGUAGAAGGGGGUAUGCUCAUCAAAGGGGGCUCUUCUAAAGGUUUGACAACCACAUAAACUAGAUUGAAACUUCCUACUCCCUCUCACUUGUAAGGGAGGAUACUCAGCCACAGGCCUCCACCAUGAACACUCACUAACCACCAGUUCCAGCUAUAGGCCUUCAGAGACAGGUCUGCACCGUACAAGCUCACUUACUGUGAUUUGUGUACCACCACCCAUGCCCUACCCCUGCCACUCCAGGGGAGCUGGGCAAGACAGCUUUCUACUCACCGUAGUACAGCCACCUCAUUCCUGAAGGCCUGGAAUUGCUCUGGUGUGGGGUCAACUACCUUUAAGAUCUUGACUGCAACGUCUCCUGCAAAUUAGUUUAUAGUCAGUACAAUCAGUUGAAUGAUCUUACUUUAUUUUUCAUAUACGCUAGCUUUGAGAUAUAGCGAGUCACUUAUU